rnacentral:rRNA from 1 species
GAUGAACGCUGGCGGCGUGCCUAACACAUGCAAGUCGAGCGAUUUACUUCGGUAAAGAGCGGCGGACGGGUGAGUAACGCGUGGGUAACCUGCCCUGUACACACGGAUAACAUACCGAAAGGUAUGCUAAUACGAGAUAAUAUGCUUUUAUCACAUGGUAGAAGUAUCAAAGCUUUUGCGGUACAGGAUGGACCCGCGUCUGAUUAGCUGGUUGGUGAGGUAACGGCUCACCAAGGCGACGAUCAGUAGCCGGUCUGAGAGGAUGAACGGCCACAUUGGGACUGAGAUACGGCCCAGACUCCUACGGGAGGCAGCAGUGGGGAAUAUUGGGCAAUGGGCGAAAGCCUGACCCAGCAACGCCGCGUGAAGG